ACGUAGGGUCCGAGCGUUGUCCGGAAUUACUGGGCGUAAAGAGCUCGUAGGUGGUUUGUCGCGUUGUUCGUGAAAACUCACAGCUCAACUGUGGGCGUGCGGGCGAUACGGGCAGACUUGAGUACUGCAGGGGAGACUGGAAUUCCUGGUGUAGCGGUGGAAUGCGCAGAUAUCAGGAGGAACACCGGUGGCGAAGGCGGGUCUCUGGGCAGUAACUGACGCUGAGGAGCGAAAGCGUGGGGAGCGAACAG
rnacentral:rRNA from 1 species